CACGAAAGGGGUAAGAGAGCAUUGUUGGCUUAGCAGUUAAUUAUUUGGAGAGUAGGUGUAAAUUUCAAUUUGUUAGGUGAAAUUUUAAAUUGUGCUAAUGCCUGACAAUAAAUUCAAUGAGGCUGUGAAAGUUAGAGGAGAAACUG
rnacentral:rRNA from 1 species